rnacentral:rRNA from 1 species
ACCUACGGGAGGCAGCAGUAGGGAAUCUUCCACAAUGGGCGAAAGCCUGAUGGAGCAACGCCGCGUGGGUGAAGAAGGUCUUCGGAUCGUAAAACCCUGUUGAUAGAGAAGAAAGUGCGUGAGAGUAACUGUUCACGUUUCGACGGUAUCUAACCAGAAAGCCACGGCUAACUACGUGCCAGCAGCCGCGGUAAUACGUAGGUGGCAAGCGUUAUCCGGAUUUAUUGGGCGUAAAGAGAACGCAGGCGGUCUUUUAAGUCUGAUGUGAAAGCCUUCGGCUUAACCGGAGUAGUGCAUUGGAAACU